rnacentral:lncRNA from 1 species
GCAGCUUCCCUAUUAAUAUCACAUAGCAAAUACAAAUACACAUGAGAAGGUGGAAAAAAAUGAAUUUAGUUCAUUAUACAAAUUAUAGAAAUGCUCUUCCUCUGAGUGACCUGAGCUGCAGUCACCAAGUUCAAUCAAAUGCACGACCUUUUAAAUAUUAAAAAUCAUCGACAUGAUAUCACAUAAUCAGUUUCUGUAAGAUAAUAAGAAGUGAAUGAAAACCAAAUGAUUUCUUGAACUCUUACAUCAUUUGAAAAUUUAUAAAAAUUCAACAUCAUAAACUUAUU